rnacentral:rRNA from 1 species
AGAGUUUGAUUAUGGCUCAGGACGAACGCUGGCGGCGUGCUUAACACAUGCAAGUCGAACGGAAAGGCCCUGCUUUUGUGGGGUGCUCGAGUGGCGAACGGGUGAGUAACACGUGAGUAACCUGCCCUUGACUUUGGGAUAACUUCAGGAAACUGGGGCUAAUACCGGAUAGGAGCUCCUGCUGCAUGGUGGGGGUUGGAAAGUUUCGGCGGUUGGGGAUGGACUCGCGGCUUAUCAGCUUGUUGGUGGGGUAGUGGCUUACCAAGGCUUUGACGGGUAGCCGGCCUGAGAGGGUGACCGGCCACAUUGGGACUGAGAUACGGCCCAGACUCCUACGGGAGGCUGCAGUGGGGAAUAUUGCACAAUGGGCGGAAGCCUGAUGCAGCAACGCCGCGUGCGGGAUGACGGCCUUCGGGUUGUAAACCGCUUUCGCCUGUGACGAAGCGUGAGUGACGGUAAUGGGUAAAGAAGCACCGGCUAACUACGUGCCAGCAGCCGCGGUGAUACGUAGGGUGCGAGCGUUGUCCGGAUUUAUUGGGCGUAAAGGGCUCGUAGGUGGUUGAUCGCGUCGGAAGUGUAAUCUUGGGGCUUAGCCCUGAGCGUGCUUUCGAUACGGGUUGACUUGAGGAAGGUAGGGGAGAAUGGAAUUCCUGGUGGAGCGGUGGAAUGCGCAGAUAUCAGGAGGAACACCAGUGGCGAAGGCGGUUCUCUGGGCCUUUCCUGACGCUGAGGAGCGAAAGCGUGGGGAGCGAACAGGCUUAGAUACCCUGGUAGUCCACGCUGUAAACGGUGGGUACUAGGUGUGGGGUCCAUUCCACGGGUUCCGUGCCGUAGCUAACGCUUUAAGUACCCCGCCUGGGGAGUACGGCCGCAAGGCUAAAACUCAAAUGAAUUGACGGGG